UACGUAGGUGGCAAGCGUUGUCCGGAUUUAUUGGGCGUAGAGCGAGUGCAGGCGGUUCGAUAAGUCUGAUGUGAAAGCCUUCGGCUCAACCGGAGAAUUGCAUCAGAAACUGUCGAGCUUGAGUACAGAAGAGGAGAGUGGAACUCCAUGUGUAGCGGUGAAAUGCGUAGAUAUAUGGAAGAACACCGGUGGCGAAGGCGGCUCUCUGGUCUGUUACUGACGCUGAGGCUCGAAAGCAUGGGUAGCGAACAGGAUUAGAUACCCUGGUAGUCAAGGGCG
rnacentral:rRNA from 1 species